rnacentral:rRNA from 1 species
GUCUUGUUGAUUAUAAUUUCAAGUCUGACCUGCCCAGUGAGGGGUUCAACGGCCGCGGUAUUUUGACCGUGCAAAGGUAGCAUAGUCACUAGUUUUUUAAUUGAAAGCUUGAAUGAAAGGUUUGAUGAAAAAGAGACUGUCUCUGUAAAAAUUUAUUAGAAUUUUAUUUUUAAGUUAAAAAGCUUAAAUUGAAAUAGAAGACGAGAAGACCCUAUAGAGUUUUAUACUAAAUAAUUUAAGGAGUUUAAGGAUUUUGAAAUUUUAUUGGUUAUAAAAGUAUUUUGUUGGGGUGAUAGAAAAAUUAGACAAACUUUUUUUACAUGUACACAUUAAUUUAUGGGCGGAUGAUCCUAGAGUAUAGAUUAUAAGAUUAAAUUACCUUAGGGAUAACAGCGUGAUUUUUCUUAGAGUUCUUAUCGAAAGAAAAGAUUGCGACCUCGAUGUUGGAUUAAAAUAAAUUGUUGGUGUAGAAGCUAAUGGAUUAGGUCUGUUCGACCUUUAAAAUUUUACAUGAUCUGAGUUUAAACCGGUGUGAG